UGGCUCUCGCAUCGAUGAAGAACGCAGCGAAAUGCGAUAAGUAAUGUGAAUUGCAGAAUUCAGUGAAUCAUCGAAUCUUUGAACGCACCUUGCGCCUCUGGGUAUUCCGAGAGGCAUGCCUGUUUGAGUGUCAUGAAACAUCAAUCCCAUUGGGUUUCUCUCCCAAUGGGACUUGGACCUGGGCGUCUGCCGGUCAACGGCUCGCCCCAAAUGACUCAGUGGGAUGAGGACCCCAUGCCUGACGUGAUAAGUUUCGUCUUGGCCGGGGUUCUGUAGCCUGCUCACAACCUGCCCCCGUGGCAACCUUCUGUAACAUUGACCUCAAAUCAGGUAGGGCUACCCGCUGA
rnacentral:misc_RNA from 1 species